rnacentral:rRNA from 2 species
UAUACAUGCAGUCGAGCGAACAGAUGAGAAGCUUGCUUCUCUGAUGUUAGCGGCGGACGGGUGGAGUAACACGUGGGUAACCUACCUAUAAGACUGGGAUAACUCCGGGAAACCGGGGCUAAUACCGGAUAAUAUUUUGAACCGCAUGGUUCAAUAUUGAAAGACGGUUUCGGCUGUCACUUAUAGAUGGACCCGCGCCGUAUUAGCUAGUUGGUAAGGUAAUGGCUUACCAAGGCAACGAUACGUAGCCGACUGAGAGGGUGAUCGGCCACACUGGAACUGAGACACGGUCCAGACUCCUACGGGAGGCAGCAGUAGGGAAUCUUCCGCAAUGGGCGAAAGCCUGACGGAGCAACGCCGCGUGAGUGAUGAAGGUCUUAGGAUCGUAAAACUCUGUUGUUAGGGAAGAACAAAUUUGUUAGUAACUGAACAAGUCUUGACGGUACCUAACCAGAAAGCCACGGCUAACUACGUGCCAGCAGCCGCGGUAAUACGUAGGUGGCAAGCGUUAUCCGGAAUUAUUGGGCGUAAAGCGCGCGUAGGCGGUUUCUUAAGUCUGAUGUGAAAGCCCACGGCUCAACCGUGGAGGGUCAUUGGAAACUGGGGAACUUGAGUGCAGAAGAGGAGAGUGGAAUUCCAUGUGUAGCGGUGAAAUGCGCAGAGAUAUGGAGGAACACCAGUGGCGAAGGCGGCUCUCUGGUCUGUAACUGACGCUGAUGUGCGAAAGCGUGGGGAUCAAACAGGAUUAGAUACCCUGGUAGUCCACGCCGUAAACGAUGAGUGCUAAGUGUUAGGGGGUUUCCGCCCCUUAGUGCUGCAGCUAACGCAUUAAGCACUCCGCCUGGGGAGUACGACCGCAAGGUUGAAACUCAAAGGAAUUGACGGGGACCCGCACAAGCGGUGGAGCAUGUGGUUUAAUUCGAAGCAACGCGAAGAACCUUACCAAAUCUUGACAUCCUUUGACCGCUCUAGAGAUAGAGUUUUCCCCUUCGGGGGACAAAGUGACAGGUGGUGCAUGGUUGUCGUCAGCUCGUGUCGUGAGAUGUUGGGUUAAGUCCCGCAACGAGCGCAACCCUUAAGCUUAGUUGCCAUCAUUAAGUUGGGCACUCUAGGUUGACUGCCGGUGACAAACCGGAGGAAGGUGGGGAUGACGUCAAAUCAUCAUGCCCCUUAUGAUUUGGGCUACACACGUGCUACAAUGGAUAAUACAAAGGGCAGCGAACCCGCGAGGUCAAGCAAAUCCCAUAAAAUUAUUCUCAGUUCGGAUUGUAGUCUGCAACUCGACUACAUGAAGCUGGAAUCGCUAGUAAUCGUAGAUCAGCAUGCUACGGUGAAUACGUUCCCGGGUCUUGUACACACCGCCCGUCACACCACGAGAGUUUGUAACACCCGAAGCCGGUGGAGUAACCUU